GGUGUCAUAGCAUAGAGGUAAUGCGGGGUGCUGUUAAUACCUUUUACAGAGGUUCGAGUCCUCUUGACAUCU